rnacentral:rRNA from 1 species
AUACGGAGGAUGCGAGCGUUAUCCGGAUUUAUUGGGUUUAAAGGGUGCGUAGGCGGGAUAAUAAGUCAGUGGUGAAAGCCUGUAGCUUAACUAUAGAAUUGCCAUUGAUACUGUUGUCCUUGAGUACAGUUGAGGUAGGCGGAAUGUGUAAUGUAGCGGUGAAAUGCUUAGAUAUUACACAGAACACCGAUUGCGAAGGCAGCUUACUAAGCUGGUACUGACGCUGAGGCACGAAAGCGUGGGGAGCAAACAGGAUUAGAUACCCUGGUAGUCCACGCCGUAAACGAUGAUCACUCGUUGUUGGCGAUAAACAGUCAGCGACUGAGCUAAAGCAUUAAGUGAUCCACCUGGGGAGUACGGCGGCAACGCUGAA